AUUGAACGCUGGCGGCAGGCCUAACACAUGCAAGUCGAACGGUAACAGGGAGCAGCUUGCUGCUYUGCUGACGAGUGGCGGACGGGUGAGUAAUGUCUGGGAAACUGCCUGAUGGAGGGGGAUAACUACUGGAAACGGUAGCUAAUACCGCAUAACGUCUUCGGACCAAAGUGGGGGACCUUCGGGCCUCAUGCCAUCAGAUGUGCCCAGAUGGGAUUAGCUAGUAGGUGGGGUAACGGCUCACCUAGGCGACGAUCCCUAGCUGGUCUGAGAGGAUGACCAGCCACACUGGAACUGAGACACGGUCCAGACUCCUACGGGAGGCAGCAGUGGGGAAUAUUGCACAAUGGGCGCAAGCCUGAUGCAGCCAUGCCGCGUGUAUGAAGAAGGCCUUCGGGUUGUAAAGUACUUUCAGCGGGGAGGAAGGCGUUGUGGUUAAUAACCACAGCGAUUGACGUUACCCGCAGAAGAAGCACCGGCUAACUCC
rnacentral:rRNA from 1 species